AGUUAAAAAGCUCGUAGUUGGAUUUCUGGCAGGAGCGACGGGUGGCGCACUCUGUGCGUGAACUUGGUUGUCUCUGGCCAUCCUUGGGGAGAUCCUGUUUGGCAUUAAGUUGUCGGGCAGGGGAUACCCAUCGUUUACUGUGAAAAAAUUAGAGUGUUUAAAGCAGGCUUAUGCCGUUGAAUAUAUUAGCAUGGAAUAAUAAGAUAGGACUUUGGAACUAUUUUGUUGGUUUGCGUUACAAAGUAAUGAUUAAUAGGGACAGUUGGGGGUAUUYGUAUUUYGUUGUCAGAGGUGAAAUUCUUKGAUUUCCGAAAGACGAACUACUGCGAAAGCAUUUACC
rnacentral:rRNA from 1 species